rnacentral:lncRNA from 1 species
UCUCAUGUGCCUAUAUGAGACUAAGUUUAGUUGGAUGAGUGGUUGACCUUUGUGUAGGAUCCCAUGUUCAUACUAGCCAAAGAUGCCAGACAGUUGCACUCUAGGAAGAUUCCACUAGUUAUGGUUCAGCAAAGGCACUGCACAGUAGAGAAGUCUACUUGGGAGAUAGUGAGUGAGAUGUGGAACCAGUAUUCUCAUAUG